GAUGAACGCUAGCGGCAGGCUUAACACAUGCAAGUCGAGGGGUAUAGUUCUUCGGAGCUAGAGACCGGCGCACGGGUGCGUAGCGCGUAUGCAAUCUACCUUUUGCAGAGGGAUAGCCCAGAGAAAUUUGGACUAAUACCUCAUAGUAUGUGAGAAUGGCAUCAUUUUGACAUUAAAGUCACAACGGCAAAAGAUGAGCAUGCGUCCCAUUAGCUUGUUGGUAAGGUAACGGCUUACCAAGGCAACGAUGGGUAGGGGUCCUGAGAGGGAGAUCCCCCACACUGGUACUGAGACACGGACCAGACUCCUACGGGAGGCAGCAGUGAGGAAUAUUGGACAAUGGGCGUGGGCCUGAUCCAGCCAUGCCGCGUGCAGGAUGACGGUCCUAUGGAUUGUAAACUGCUUUUGUACAGGAAGAAACACUGGUUCGUGAACCAGCUUGACGGUACUGUAAGAAUAAGGAUCGGCUAACUCCGUGCCAGCCGCCGCAGUAAAAC
rnacentral:rRNA from 1 species